GGAGCUCCUGACACUGCCAGGCAGUAAGGAAAACAGAUGGCUGUUGCUUUUGAAGCCAGUAACAUUAAUUUCUGUGCCUGUUGUGUAUUUUUCCUCCUUCCCCUAGAUUUUCCAACUCCUGCAGUAGCUCCUGUAGCAGCCAGGCAUUGGCAGACAUGUUGGAAGGCAGCCACGCAGGCGGUGGAGUAUAGCUGAUACCUGUAGAUGGGGCCUUGUUUUUUCCCCAAAACCAGCAAUCAAUGUGGACCUGCCACACUGCUAAGGGCAACAUACGGAAGCCUGCUAUCUGACUAAUGCUUACCAAGUGUUACAAUGCUUGAGUGGAGGGAAAUAUGCAACCUUGUGACCCUGAAUCAGAAUAGCCAAACUCCAUCUGCUCUGAAACUUCAAACGGAACACUUCCAAGUACCAGAUAGUUGAUAAGCCAUUACAUCAAUGAGGAGCAACUUCCUUGCUGCAUUUCUUGGCUGCUCCUAGAAGCCCAGCUUCUUCUGCUUAGUGUCUAAGAGGUCUUUGUCUCCUGUUACUUUCCUGGCAAUAACUUCAUUUCACUUCUUUAUCUGCAUCAAAUUUUCUCAGUAAGAUUCUUGUCCACAGUCCUCAAGAAAUUCAGAUCCUGUAAAAAUUUUUGCACUUCUCACCCAGCAAGCUCUUUCCAGUCUGAUGAUCAACUCUUAUUCUCUUUUUGUGCUGGCCUCUCAUUUGCUUUUUUUCUUAGCUUUUGUUUAUCUAUCAUUUCCAUCCUUCCGCUAUGUAAGAAGCAUUAGAAAAAUAGGCACUUCAAGAUAAUUUGCUGCUGUUAAGCAGCUGAACAUUGCUACUCUCAGGGGGCAAGGGAGAAUCUGAAAUGUGGAGUCUUUCUUCCAUCAGGAAAAUCAGAGAACACCAAAGAAAACAGAGCAUUUCUGUAAAAAUUUGCUGUAUGUUGUCCAGUUUCUGCUUAAAGCUUUCAGAUUUGUGUAACUUUUCUCUAGAACCAAUAUAACUUCUAUGUGAAAAAGCCCCCAUUCUUCAAACUAGGUAAUUAUUUGGUUUAUGCUCCUGUGGUGUCAUUAACAUAUUUUUAAUCCAUACAGGUCUUCUCCUGUUGUUUUUACAUGCACAAGGUAGCACCUCACAAUUGCUAUUUAGCUAUGUGACUGCUGUAGCUGGGUUUCCUGUUACACAACUCAACCCUCUGGUUUUAAACCAACAAAUGCCACCUGUCUGUACCAGCCAGGAUGCAGCCCACAGUCAAGGCAGUUUCUUUUCCCACUUACCAAUUGGUUCACCUUUUUUUCUCAGCCAGAAUAGAUUAUUAGAGAUGCCCCUGCUUUAUUCAGGUCAUUCUUGGUGUGAAUUAUUUGCAAGUAUAAGCCUGCAAGCAAAUUCACUGUAGGUGUAUUUUCAAAGCUGUGAAAAGAAGACUAUAAACAUUACAUAUAACCUGAGGUGUACUGUGUAAUUUAUACCAUAUAAAUAAAUUAUUAAAAUUUUUUUUUCAUUCGCCUAAUUUCAUAAUUCGAUUUUUAUGGGGAUGUGUUGGUGCCCCCAGCAGGCUCUUAGAAAAAUUAAAUCUGGAAUCCUUUGAACCAAAUGUUGCAGAAAGAAUUAACUUGUUUACUGUAUUGUGAUGAAUAGAAUAGCUGCAUUGAAUAUAUAUGAAGCUGCACAAUGAAUUACUAUGUAAAUGUGUUAUCAAGUGCAAAUAUGUGCCACGUAUGAUCUUUAUCUAUAGCAGACCAUAUCACAUUGUACAAGUAAAUAUAAAGCUCUGAUCUCUUUCAUUAUAGGACUUCUGUGAUGCCAACUACAGUCCUGUUCUUAGAGUAGUGAAGAACACCAAUGCAAAAGGGACAGUCUCAGACUUAUUGAAAGUCCUGGACUUUCACUGCAUGUAUUUCUGAAAUUAUUGCUUGCACUAGAAUAAUUUGUGAAUUUGAUCUGAAUUGCACUCAUAGUAGUGUGUCUUCUUGACUGAAAGAAUUUGCAGAAAAUAAUUUAAAGACCUGUUUCUUUAUUCACUGCAGAUCACAAGUCAUUAUUUCAUAUAAAGUCUAACUAAAUUAUAUGCCCCAUUUUGUUAUAUGUAUAAUGUUUUACAGGUCUCAAUUUUGCAAACAAGGAAUCACUCUGAGAGCUAAGGCAUUGGAAGCUAGAGAAGAAAGGCUAUUGAAUUCACCUUUGACCCACAUGACAGGAAUUUUAUUUGCCUGGAAUCCAAGUACCACGUUCUUUUUGCCCUUGAAAACCUCAAAUUCUAAGGGGAGGUGUGGUACUCACAUAAAUAAAAAUGUCUACUACUGAGAAGUUGUUUCAUGAAUUACCACAAAGGAGCUCUGGGAGAGUGCAGUCAAAUGAUUUUAUGCCCCAUAUCUCAUGAAUAAUACACAUAUAGAAAUAAAUAGAAUAACCUCAACACUGCAUCAGAGUCUCUACAUUGCAUCAGAACUUUGUUUUUUAAGUGUCUAUGCAUCAAUACAAAAACACAACAGAGAAAAAAAAUAGAUACAUUUGAUUUCUGGAACUGAUUCCUAGCAGAAAUGGGGAACAGACCAGGAAAAGUAAAUUUCCUAUAGUGAUCAAGCAAUGUUGAAAAUAGUAUCUAUUGGAAUUUAGUCUGAAAUGAUUGAUAUUAUGAAAAUAAGGGUCCUAAGGAAGACCACCUUAUACACAUCACAAAUUUUCUUGCUGAGGUAUCAUCUGCGAGGACAUAGAAAACAUGAAGUUAUUUAAUUGAGUACCUUGCUCCUAGAAAUUCACAGGCUUUCCCUCAGACUCCACAUAGUAAAAUAAUGAAAACUAGGUAUUUCAUAAUAAUAAAUAAUAAUAAUCAAAUGGCUUCAAUAGCAUCUGGAGAGAAUUUAGGGGCAGACCAUGAACCAGUGCUCUUCCUGCCCAGUAUAUCCAUCUGUAUUCAGCAGAGAGAGCUGACACCAAGUUGUGAAGAUGAAACUUGGCCUGAACAGUCAAAAUAUGCUCAUCUGGCUCUACAGCUAAGCAAAACCACCUUUUCUUUCAGCCUUUGAUGAAAAUCUAUGAUUCCUGAAAUACAGCAAAGCUGGCAGGGAAGGAUAAAGGAGUACAAAACUAGACAUAUAGACAAUAAGAACUUUCAUCUGCUUUUGUACUUUGGAUGAAAGAACGAGUGGAUAAUUACAAUCUAAUAAUUAAUUCCAUUAGCCAUAACUAUGUUCCAGAGAAAGUGAGACAUUUGAGCUGGCAAUCCAGUGUGGAUAAGGCACACUGGAGUUUCCAAGUGCAUGCUUUGUGUUAUAAAUGAACACUUACAGAGUCAGGCCCAGAGGCAGCACAGCUGCUUUCAGACAGUGAGGAGCUGAAAUAACCUGUGAGGCUCUUGUGGGUAUGUGGAAAGCCAGCCUAGCACUUCACGCAUCCUAUUCCUAUGACUGGGCACAAAGCCAGACCUUCUUCACCAUGUCUGUGAUUCAGCCCCUGCUGAUCAGUUUGAUUUGGGUCUGUUAAGAAGCACUGAUGCACUUCUGUACUCCCAGAAUAAGGAGCAGGCUGUGGGGGUCUAGUGUGGCACCAAGUUCUACUGUCACCCGAAUAUUGUACUGAAAAGGGACAUAGCACAGUCUGAGUCCCGACCUGCCUUAUAUCUUAGGCAACUGCAAAGUACUUCCCUGAUAUUUAUCAACUUGAAAUUCCUUAUGUUGGCCUGGGUUCUGCAUACAAAACUUUGUUUUAACACAGUAUGCUGAUGUGUCCAUAAAUCUAAACAAUAAUAAAUUAACAUUUAUUAAAUGCAUUAAAGCAUUGCAUCUUCAAAGAACUAUACUUCAUCUGCUAAUUAAUCUUGACAAUACUCUUGUGACUAAGUUAGAACUUGUUUAUUUAUUUCAAUAGACUUUCCUGUGAACUAACUAGGGAGUUAUCCUGAAUUAGUGAGGAGCACAGGAACAAGACAGAACAGAGAAUGAUGCAAAAAGGGAAGGAAGUCCUUACUUGUUCUGCAACUCUCUUGCUAGGUUAUUGUAUGCUGGGUUUAUUGAUUAGCAUUGAAGAGGAGAAUCAAUACUUUGCUUUACAGGACAGUUUUACUAAUACAUGCACUGAUUUAAAGAAUGUACAUAAUCACAUCUUUUGCAGCCCUCACAGCAUAUGAAUCCCAAAAGAACUCACAUGCAGGUUUCUCUGUCUUUAUUCCACUACAGGCUGAUUACUCCUUUGAAGUCCGUAGGUGUUCUGUGUACAACUGAUAACACAUUUUGGUUCCUCCAACCCUAAGCACACUGAAUGUGGCACUGCUGUAUUCUAAACAUGGAUCACAGUUCUGUCAGUCUCAAUCUUGCUCUCAAGACUUCUGUGUGAUACACGAAUUUAAACUAUUGCUUGAGGUAGAAUUUCUGUGCUCAUUCUGGACUUAUACUUUUUAUAUUGGCUUCCAUAUAACAAUACAAAACAUGCUUAAAAUUAACUUAAGUGAAAUUAUUACUGUAGUUACUUGAAAAUUCUUGAAGUUUUUGGUAUAAUUAGUGGGAUAAAGAGUUUUCCACAGUAGCUCUCCUUUGUACCCUAUUUUUGUGUAAUCUUAAUAAACCUAAUAAAUGAAUUUUUUUUAAGCUCUAAUAACUAUGAUUUAGUGUUUUGGUUCAAGUUUUUCACAGCAAGUUUCUAUUUGAAGAUAUUUUUUUUUUCUGGAAAAUUUUAGCAAGAUCUCAUUGGCUGUAUUUGAGUAAGUGUGAGUGAAUGAGUAUUUGUACGGGUCAGAAAAAGCAAAGAAAUAGUCAAAGUACUAAAUUCAACAUGAUUUGUCUUAUGUCCCAUAAUGCAAACAGCAGUUUGGACCCUACAAAGUUGAACUCUUAUUCUUACAGGCAUGAUAUAUCUUGAAGACUGGCUGAUUUCAUGUUUGCUGUGGUUUAAGGGCUUCUUAAGGGCAUGGCCCUGUCACUCCUUUGUAAACUGUGGGAAGUUAAAAGGCCAGUUGAUCUUUCACAUACUUCAUGUGGCAAUUCUCCAUUUCCCAGCAGCAAUCUCCUUUGAAAGCAGCUGCCAUCUUAAUUCUUUGGCUGCUUAAUCACAUCUCACAAAUCAGAUUCUAAAAAGUCCCAUUAGCCUUCUGUUCAAUAAGGAGAAAUUAAAUCUCAAAUAUCUUUUUGGUCAUCUUUUUUUUUCCUACAAGUGUAUAGCUUAGAAAAGCAAUGAAGAAUGGGCACUGUGAGGCAGCAGGAGGAGGUACAGAGUAUAAACUAAUGAAGUGUGCUUUAGCAUUUUCCUUCUAGUAUAUGUUCUCAAAAGUGAAUGGGCACUUGACACCAUUAACAUAAGGCCAGUAGUCUAAAAUUAUGUUUCCUAGGCUUGUUAUGGUCUGAAUUCUUAAGAGUCACAGGAUAAUCUGCACUCUAUUUGACUUGUCAUGUGAGCUAUAUAAUGCUUAUUUGGUACCUUUCAUCUCAGGAGAACAUGGACUGGGGCCUGGGAUUUCCGAUUUCAAUAGUCAGGAACUCUGCCAUUUCUGUGCAGUUUGGAUGUCGGGGUCCCUUCCCCCCCGCCAUGUAGCCCUGGGAGAGGGGCC